rnacentral:rRNA from 1 species
UACGUAGGGUGCAAGCGUUGUCCGGAAUCAUUGGGCGUAAAGAGCGUGUAGGCGGCCAAACAGGUCAGCUGUGAAAACUCGAGGCUCAACCUCGAGACGUCGGUUGAAACCGUUUGGCUAGAGUCCGGAAGAGGAGAGUGGAAUUCCCGGUGUAGCGGUGAAAUGCGCAGAUAUCGGGAAGAACACCCGUGGCGAAGGCGGCUCUCUGGGACGGUACUGACGCUGAGACGCGAAAGCGUGGGGAGCGAACAGG